rnacentral:rRNA from 1 species
CCUACGGGUUGCACCAGUGGGGAAUAUUGGACAAUGGGGGCAACCCUGAUCCAGCGACGCCGCGUGGGUGAAGAAGGCCUGCGGGUUGUAAAGCCCUUUCGGUGGGGAUAAAAAGCCUUGGUUUAACACACCAGGGUCUUGAUCUAACCCAAGAAAGAAGCACCGGCUAACUCUGUGCCAGCAGCCGCGGUAAUACAGAGGGUGCGAGCGUUAAUCGGAAUUACUGGGCGUAAAGCGCACGUAGGUGGCUUUGCAAGUCGAUUGUGAAAUCCCCGGGCUUAACCUGGGAACUGCAGUCGAGACUGCUUUGCUUGAGUAUGGGAGAGGGAGGUGGAAUUUCCGGUGUAGCGGUGAAAUGCGUAGAUAUCGGAAGGAACAUCAGUGGCGAAGGCGACCUCCUGGACCAAUACUGACACUCAAGUGCGAAAGCGUGGGGAGCAAACAGGAUUAGAUACCCCGGUAGUC